rnacentral:lncRNA from 1 species
AUUGGAGAAUGUUCCAGUUCUCUCAUCUUUUGCCGUGACAAUCUUGCUAUAUGCAGGAUUGCUUGGGUGAUACGCUUCACCUUCCUUGAAGGAUGGGGGACAUGGAGUGGAAGUCAGAAGAUUUUGACAUUCACCAGUGUACUCCACUAUGUAAAGCCGGCAUGGUACCUCUGCUUCUCAUCCUGCUCAAAAAGGCCCUUUCCUAAGCUCUGUGAACCUAAAGUAUCAGGGAGGGGAGCUGAUGGAAUUGCUGUCAGAGCCCUGGAAGAGGACAGGCAAGCAGCUGGAAUGGAACGACAGCAGGAUCAAAGAAAAAAAGUGUCCCUUUUCUUCCUUGACUUCCUUGGUGCAAACAUAAACAUCUGGAUGAAUUGGAGUCCCGUGUCAUCCUUUAAAAACAACGAUUGCUUGCACUGGAAUAUUCUGAUUCUGAGAAGAAGCUACAUAUGUAUAUUUCUUGAAUGUACAUUAACUCUUGAUUCCAUCAGCAUGGGUGAUCUCCAUGCCACAUUUCUAUCUAGCACAGCAAUGAAGCCGAGUGGUAAGUGA